rnacentral:rRNA from 1 species
AUCAGUGGCGAACGGGUGAGUAACACGUGAGCAACCUGCCCUGGACUCUGGGAUAAGCGCUGGAAACGGCGUCUAAUACUGGAUAUGAGCUCUCAUCGCAUGGUGGGGGUUGGAAAGAUUUUUCGGUCUGGGAUGGGCUCGCGGCCUAUCAGCUUGUUGGUGAGGUAAUGGCUCACCAAGGCGUCGACGGGUAGCCGGCCUGAGAGGGUGACCGGCCACACUGGGACUGAGACACGGCCCAGACUCCUACGGGAGGCAGCAGUGGGGAAUAUUGCACAAUGGGCGGAAGCCUGAUGCAGCAACGCCGCGUGAGGGAUGACGGCCUUCGGGUUGUAAACCUCUUUUAGCAGGGAAGAAGCGAGAGUGACGGUACCUGCAGAAAAAGCGCCGGCUAACUACGUGCCAGCAGCCGCGGUAAUACGUAGGGCGCAAGCGUUAUCCGGAAUUAUUGGGCGUAAAGAGCUCGUAGGCGGUUUGUCGCGUCUGCUGUGAAAUCCCGAGGCUCAACCUCGGGCCUGCAGUGGGUACGGGCAGACUAGAGUGCGGUAGGGGAGAUUGGAAUUCCUGGUGUAGCGGUGGAAUGCGCAGAUAUCAGGAGGAACACCGAUGGCGAAGGCAGAUCUCUGGGCCGUAACUGACGCUGAGGAGCGAAAGGGUGGGGAGCAAACAGGCUUAGAUACCCUGGUAGUCCACCCCGUAAACGUUGGGAACUAGUUGUGGGGACCAUUCCACGGUUUCCGUGACGCAGCUAACGCAUUAAGUUCCCCGCCUGGGGAGUACGGCCGCAAGGCUAAAACUCAAAGGAAUUGACGGGGACCCGCACAAGCGGCGGAGCAUGCGGAUUAAUUCGAUGCAACGCGAAGAACCUUACCAAGGCUUGACAUACACCAGAACACCGUAGAAAUACGGGACUCUUUGGACACUGGUGAACAGGUGGUGCAUGGUUGUCG